GCUGCCCGCUUCGGCACCACAUACACUAAAACCGGAGCAACACAGAGAAGACCAGCACGGCCCCCGCGCCAGGAUGACACGCGAACGUGUGAAGCGUUCCGUACGUUU